AAUGGCCUGCCCUCCCCCGCCCCUCCGUUCCCAUCUCAGAGAGCCCUGGGCCUGUCGCCUCUCUGGCAAGCUGUUUACAAGCAGAAUGUAAUGUGGGCACCAGUAUAUAUUUCUGAACAAUGUGUGAAAAGAGAAGAGCAGAAAGUGAAGUUCGAGAGUAGAUGUGCACUUGGUGCGGGUGGACAUUACGACUUGGCCCAUGUGGACCCUGGCCACCGCACCCUGGCACUUUCCAGAGGCACUGCGCACACCUGUCUGGAGCCUGUCAGAUCCGAUCAGCUCCAGUGCGGACAAUGUCUUAUGGAUGCAGGUGAUGUGGAUGGGGUGGAGCUGCACGCAGAUACGAGAGCCAUCUUUGGCACAGCUUUUCACCAGGUAUGUGUCGGCACAAAUAUAAGCAGCCUCCAGGGCUUCAGUGGGAACUUACCUACUUUCGUCUCCUUCCGCCCCAGGUCAAACAUGUGGAUCGUAGUAUCAGGGACACCUCAGCAGAAGUGAGACUUUGCGUACAGCUUGUUCUUAUGAUACCGAUACUGGUAACGCCAGGCUGGGAGGCGGCCCAUGGUGACACCAGGAACGAUGAGUCAAAAAUCUGCUGGGAGGC
ensembl:lncRNA